AGCAGUGUCGCUUAGUGGAAAGAGCACGGGCUUGGGAGCCAGAGGUCAUGGGUUCUAAUCCCAGCUCUGUUA
rnacentral:tRNA from 1 species